rnacentral:rRNA from 1 species
ACAUGCAAGUCGAGGGGCAGCAUGGUCUUUUCUUGCUAAGGCCGAUGGCGACCGGCGCACGGGUGAGUAACGCGUAUCCAACCUGCCUUAGACUCUUGGACAGCCUUCUGAAAGGGAGAUUAAUACAAGAUGUUAUCAUGAGUAAGCAUUUUCGCAUGAUUAAAGGUUUACCGGUGUAAGAUGGGGAUGCGUUCCAUUAGAUAGUAGGCGGGGUAACGGCCCACCUAGUCUUCGAUGGAUAGGGGUUCUGAGAGGAAGGUCCCCCACAUUGAAACUGACACACGGCCCAAACUCCUACGGGAGGCAGCAGUGAGGAAUAUUGGUCAAUGGACGACAGUCUGAACCAGCCAAGUAGCGUGAAGGAAGAAGGUUCUAUGGAUUGUAAACUUCUUUUAUACAGGAAUAAACGGAUCCACGUGUGGAUUUUUGCAUGUACCGAAUGAAUAACGAUCGGCUAACUCCGUGCCAGCAGCCGCGGUAAUACGGAGGAUCCGAGCGUUAUCCGGAUUUAUUGGGUUUACAUGGAGCGUAAAUGGGUUGUUAUAUCAGUUGUGAAUGCUUGUGGCUCAACCGUAAAAUUGCAAUUGAUACUGGCAGUCUUGAGUACAGUUGAGGUAGGCGGAUUUCGUGGUGUAGCGGUGAAAUGCUUAGAUAUCACGAAGAACUCCGAUUGCGAAGGCAGCUUACUAACCUGUAACUGACAUUGAUGCUCGAAAGUGUGGGUAUCAAACAGGAUUAGAUACCCUGGUAGUCCACACGGUAAACGAUGAAUACUCGCUGUAGGCGAUAUACAGUCUGCGGCCAAGCGAAAGCAUUAAGUAUUCCACCUGGGGAGUACGCCGGCAACGGUGAAACUCAAAGGAAUUGACGGGGGCCCGCACAAGCGGAGGAACAUGUGGUUUAAUUCGAUGAUACGCGAGGAACCUUACCCGGGCUUAAAUUGCAACCGAAUAUGGCGGAAACGCUAUAGCUAGCAAUAGCGGUUGUGAAGGUGCUGCAUGGUUGUCGUCAGCUCGUGCCGUGAGGCGUCGGCUUAAGUGCCAUAACGAGCGCAACCCUUGCCGAUAGUUACUAACAGGUUAUGCUGAGGACUCUGUCGGGACUGCCAUCGUAAGAUGUGAGGAAGGUGGGGAUGACGUCAAAUCAGCACGGCCCUUACGUCCGGGGCUACACACGUGUUACAAUGGGGGGUACAGAGGGCUGCUACCACGCAAGUGGAUGCCAAUCCCAAAAACCUCUCUCAGUUCGGAUUGAAGUCUGCAACCCGACUUCAUGAAGCUGGAUUCGCUAGUAAUCGCGCAUCAGCCACGGCGCGGUGAAUACGUUCCCGGGCCUUGUACACACCGCCCGUCAAGCCAUGGGAGCCGGGGGUACCUGAAGUGCGUAACCGCAAGGAGCGCCCUAGGGUAAAACUGGUGACUGGGGCU